rnacentral:rRNA from 1 species
AUUGAACGCUAGCGGGAUGCCUUACACAUGCAAGUCGAACGGAGUGGCGAACGGGUGAGUAAUGUAUCGGAACGUGCCCAGUAGCGGGGGAUAACUACGCGAAAGCGUAGCUAAUACCGCAUACUAUUGGAGCGGCCGAUAUCGGAUUAGCUAGUUGGUGGGGUAACGGCUCACCAAGGCGACGAUCCGUAGCUGGGUUGAGAGGACGACCAGCCACCCGGGGACUGGGACACGGCCCAGACGCCGGCGGGGGGGAGCAGUGGGGAAUUUUGGGCAAUGGGGGAAACCCUGAUUCAGCCAUCCCGGGGGUUGGAUGAAGGCCUUCGGGUUGGAAAGCACUUUUGGCAGGAAAGCGGUACCUGCAGAAUAAGCACCGGCUAACUACGUGCCAGCAGCCGCGGUAAUUC